GCCUCGGGGGCUCAGUCAGUUAAGCGUCUGACUUCAGCUCAGGUCAUGAUCUCAUGGUUUGUGGGUUCAAGCCCCACCUCAGGCU
rnacentral:tRNA from 1 species